rnacentral:rRNA from 1 species
GUAGUCUCGCACAGAUGCAUAUCAAUAAGCGGAGGAAAAGAAACUAACAAGGAUUCCCUUAGUAACGGCGAGUGAAGCGGGAAGAGCUCAAAUUUGAAAUCUUCAAGGUUUUACCUUGACGAAUUGUAGUUUAAAGAAGUGUUUUCUGUUGAAGUUUUGGUAAAAGUUCUUUGGAAUAGGACAUCAUAGAGGGUGAGAAUCCCGUAUUUGACCAUUAUUUUCAGCUGUGUGAUACACUUUCAAAGAGUCGGAUUGUUUGGGAAUGCAGUCCAAAAUGGGUGGUAAAUUUCAUCUAAAGCUAAAUAUUGGCGAGAGACCGAUAGCGAACAAGUACCGUGAGGGAAAGAUGAAAAGAACUUUGAAAAGAGAGUUAAACAGUACGUGAAAUUGUCAAAAGGGAAGCGUUUGACACCAGUGUUGUUUUCUCGAAAAUCAAUUAAAAAGAGUUAGAUUUUGUUGUGUAUUGACCUUAACAGCUUGCAUUUCAAUUUUCUUGCUUUUUUUAAUGCACUUUUCGUUUAACAAGUCAACAUCAGUUUCUUUUGUUGUAAAAAGGUCAUUGGAAGGUGGCUUUCUUUUCGGAGAAAGUGUUUAUAGCCUUUGACUCCUGCAAUCGGAGAGACUGAGGUCUGCAGCGUAGAUCCUUCGGGGUUAGAUACAUUUGUGCUAAGUUAUAGCUUUUUAUAGACAACUUGUUGACUAUGAUUAGUCUUGUAGCUUACUCGCUUAUGCUAUUUUACCUACGCUUAGGAUGUUGAGCGCAUGUCUCUCCU